UUCUACCCCUAUUUCUCUCCUGCACUAUUUGACUCCAUAUCUAUUGUCUCAAUGGGAGUUUUGGUUUUUCUUAAGCAAAAUUUUCAGCCAAAGGCUUCGAUUAUAACCAGAAAUGUCUGGGUUAAAUGAAGCUAGGAGUGACAAGGCAAACCAGAGUUUGCCUCUGAUUCCUAGGAAGAACAAUUCAGCUAGACCCUGUGUACGUACGGUUGCAUUGCUUGAUGUAUUACAAAUAAAUAGGCACUACUGGCCAAUUACUGGCUACCACCUUCUUUGUCUGGCAAACUUCUACUUGAUCCUCAAGACCCUGUUCAGAAGUGACCUCCAGGUUGUGUCUUCUGUGUCCCCCUUUUAUUCAUAUCACAGCAUGCACAGCUGCUAUCUCUGCAACAGUGAGGCCACUUUCCGGAGCCCAGAGCCAUGCCCCUGUGACCCACACCCCAGAGAGGAUCGAGAAGGUGUCAGAAGGAUGGGGCCCUGAGUACCAGGCAGACAGCAGGUACACAAGCCAAACAAGCCAGCGGGACAUCUCCUCCCUGGACGGUGAGUCUCGGCCCAAGGGGACAGAGGGGCUGGUGCACUCUGUGUGUCCUUCCACCACAGGCAGCGCCUUGAUCACUCUGUUCCUGCUGCUGGACCUCGGGAUGCUUCCUGUGUCACAGCCACAGCCUGCCUUGGUCCUGUCCCUCCCCAGCCCUGGUCUCUAGCCUCCCUCAGUCCGGCGAGGCCUCUGUGGAAUUCCCUCCCGCUGCAGCCACCAAGACGGGCUCUGUUGCUUGUGACAGGGAACCCUGGCCAAGUGGUGGUCCCCAGUUCUCCCCGCCACUCCCCUCCCUCUGUUGCCCGACGCUUUCCUGUCCUGGCUCCCUUUCCCUCCCCCAAUCCUUUGGCAGAUUUUGCCCUCUUUGGCUCUGGGGCUGCUUUCGCCAGCCUCUCCACAGCCUCCUGUGUCCACGCACCAAACCCAGGUCUGCUCUGGGAUCUCCGGGCUAGGAUCUAGGGGCACAGGGAAUGAGCGAAGGCUGACUUGGACUGAGAAAUGCUGGCUCUGUGGUGGUGCGAGCCAGCGCUCCAUGCUUCUGUCACCCUGCAGAAGCGAGUCACUUACCAAGGACAGAAAAGGAGCUCAGAGGAGUGAGGCCUUCACCCAGGUCCUCCAGUGGGGAAGAGGUGGGUUGUGGAGCCUGUCUUUGGGGUGCUGGCUGGAUCCCAAGCCCUGUGCCUCCCAUUAAAUGUGCCUCAAUGCUAAUGAUACAGUUACAAUCAAGGGGCCCGAGCCAGGGCUAAAGGAGUGGAGGUCAUCUGGCUGUGAUCUGUACCAGUCACUGGCCUCGUCCUCAGAACAACCGUGAAGAGGAAGCAGAGGGUGCUUCCAUGGGGGGGCCCAGGGCCGGCCAGGGCGGAAACUCCCCCUGUGCUGUCAC
rnacentral:lncRNA from 1 species